rnacentral:siRNA from 1 species
UAUAGGGUUCUUUUGUAUAUAUA